AUAAAAAACCAAUGCCCUUCGGGGCUCCUUGGUGAUUCAUAAUAACUUAACGAAUCGCAUGGCCUUGCGCCGGCGAUGGUUCAUUCAAAUUUCUGCCCUAUCAACUUUCGAUGGUAGGAUAGUGGCCUACCAUGGUGGCAACGGGUAACGGGGAAUUAGGGUUCGAUCCCGGAGAGGGAGCCUGAGAAACGGCUACCACAUCCAAGGAAGGCAGCAGGCGCGCAAAUUACCCAAUCCCGACACGGGGAGGUAGUGACAAUAAAUAACAAUAUAGGGCCCUUUUGGGUCUUAUAAUUGGAAUGAGUACAAUUUAAAUCCCUUAACGAGGAACAAUUGGAGGGCAAGUCUGGUGCCAGCAGCCGCGGUAAUUCCAGCUCCAAUAGCGUAUAUUAAAGUUGUUGCAGUUAAAAAGCUCGUAGUUGAACUUCAGACCUGGCUGGAUGGUCUGCCUAACGGUAUGUACUGUCCGGCUGGGCCUUACCUCUUGGUGAGCCGGCAUGCCCUUCACUGGGUGUGUU
rnacentral:rRNA from 1 species